rnacentral:lncRNA from 1 species
UUCGGCAACAAACGGAGAUGAAAUGUUGAAGUGCAAAGUUGACUUUGAGGCUCUAAUCGCACCAUCUUGAUCCCGAACAACCAUUCCUGACGCCGAUCUAAAUUUCCUGAUAUCAAAGGCUGCAUCAAACUGUAUUAUCUCCCUUGAUGUAUCUCUGCCUCGUCCUGCAGCUUCAGUAGACGCGUGAGAAAUCCUACUUCCCCUACUUCCUUCAAGUUCCAUUAGACAACUCUGUAUUUUCUGUGAAAGAUCUAAUCCUGAUAUGGCUUUCUUCUCAUGUAUAAUAUGAUUCCGCGAGCCCCAUAAAACCCAUAGAGCACAACAAAACAAUCGAGUCUGCUCCUUUGUUCCUUUAUCAAAGACCCAGGUGAGCCAACUCCAGACAUUCUGACUUGUAUAUUAUGUUACCCACGUCAUAUUGAGUCUAAUCCAUACUUCCAUGCUUACAGGACAUUUUCGAAACACAUGAUCGCUAUCUUCUUCCUCAGAUUCGCAACGAGGGCAUCUGGAGUUUGCAGUUACUCUUUUAUAUUUCAGAUUAGCCAGGGAUGGGAUAUGGUUCCAGGAAAUCCUCCAUAUAAGGAUUAAAAUCUUUUGUGGUAGUUGUAAAUUCCAUAGGUUCUUGUAAAAUUCUUUAGUUUCGGUCUGUACUAAAUAAUUAUUAGGCUUCAGACUAGCUUCUUGUAAUAGUUUGUAUGCGCUCCGAACUGAGAACUCACCUGAUUGUUCACCUUUCCACACCUGCAUGUCUUCACAGUCUAUUCUUGCUAGAGGAAUCUGCAGAAUUCUCUAGGUGACAUCCCUUU